rnacentral:rRNA from 1 species
CCACGCUGUAAACGUUGGGAACUAGGUGUGGGGAUGCUAUCCUGUGUUUCUGCGCCGUAGCUAACGCAUUAAGUUCCCCGCCUGGGGAGUACGGUCGCAAGGCUAAAACUCAAAGGAAUUGACGGGGACCCGCACAAGUAGCGGAGCAUGUGGUUUAAUUCGACGCAACGCGAAGAACCUUACCAGGGCUUGACAUGACAGUGACGGGUUAAGAGAUUAACCGUUCCCUUCGGGGACACUGCCACAGGUGGUGCAUGGUUGU